AUCCUGGCUCAGAUUGAACGCUGGCGGCAUGCCUUACACAUGCAAGUCGAACGGCAGCACGGGGCAACCUGGUGGCGAGUGGCGAACGGGUGAGUAAUGCAUCGGAACGUGCCAUUGAGUGGGGGAUAACGUAGCGAAAGUUGCGCUAAUACCGCAUAUUCUGUGAGCAGGAAAGCAGGGGACCGCAAGGCCUUGCGCUCUUUGAGCGGCCGAUGUCAGAUUAGCUAGUUGGUGAGGUAACGGCUUACCAAGGCGACGAUCUGUAGCGGGUCUGAGAGGAUGAUCCGCCACACUGGAACUGAGACACGGUCCAGACUCCUACGGGAGGCAGCAGUGGGGAAUUUUGGACAAUGGGCGCAAGCCUGAUCCAGCCAUGCCGCGUGAGUGAAGAAGGCCUUCGGGUUGUAAAGCUCUUUCGGCCGGGAAGAAAUCGCAUGGGUUAAUACCCUGUGUGGAUGACGGUACCGGAAUAAGAAGCACCGGCUAACUACGUG
rnacentral:rRNA from 1 species